rnacentral:misc_RNA from 1 species
GAUGAAGAACGUAGCGAAAUGCGAUAAGUAAUGCGAAUUGCAGAAUUCAGUGAAUCAUCGAAUCUUUGAACGCACAUUGCGCCCGCCAGUAUUCUGGCGGGCAUGCCUGUCUGAGCGUCGUUUCGACCCUCGCGCCCGGCUUCUGUCGGGGGCGGUGUUGGGGAUCGGCCACACCCUUCAGUGGGAGGCCGGCCCCUAAAUUCAGUGGCGACCACGCUGUAGCCUCCCCUGCGUAGUACUAAAACCACCUCGCAGGCGGAGAGCGGUGCGGCCCGCCGUAAAACCCCCCAACUUUACAAGGUCGACCUCAGAUCAGGUAGGAAUACCCGCUGAACUUAAGCAUAUCAAUAAGCGGAGGA